GUGGGAGACUGUGAAGCCGGCACGCCAGUGUCGGUGGAGUCAACGUUGAAAUACCACUCUGGUCGUACUAGAUGUCUAACCUAGGUCCAUUAUCUGGAUCAGGGACAGUGCCUGAUGGGUAGUUUAACUGGGGCGGUUGCCUCCUAAAAUGUAACGGAGGCGCUCAAAGGUUCCCUCAGCCUGGUUGGCAAUCAGGUGGCGAGUGUAAGUGCA
rnacentral:rRNA from 1 species